CGAGCGAACAGACGAAGAGCUUGCUCCUCUGACGUUAGCGGCGGACGGGUGAGUAACACGUGGAUAACCUACCUAUAAGACUGGGAUAACUUCGGGAAACCGGAGCUAAUACCGGAUAAUAUAUUGAACUGCAUGGUUCAAUAGUGAAAGACGGUUUUGCUGUCACUUAUAGAUGGAUCCGCGCCGCAUUAGCUAGUUGGUAAGGUAACGGCUUACCAAGGCAACGAUGCGUAGCCGACCUGAGAGGGUGAUCGGCCACACUGGAACUGAGACACGGUCCAGACUCCUACGGGAGGCAGCAGUAGGGAAUCUUCCGCAAUGGGCGAAAGCCUGACGGAGCAACGCCGCGUGAAUGAUGAAGGUCUUCGGAUCGUAAAACUCUGUUAUUAGGGAAGAACAAAUGUGUAAGUAACUAUGCACGUCUUGACGGUACCUAAUCAGAAAGCCACGGCUAACUACGUGCCAGCAGCCGCGGUAAUACGUAGGUGGCAAGCGUUAUCCGGAAUUAUUGGGCGUAAAGCGCGCGUAGGCGGUUUUUUAAGUCUGAUGUGAAAGCCCACGGCUCAACCGUGGAGGGUCAUUGGAAACUGGAAAACUUGAGUGCAGAAGAGGAAAGUGGAAUUCCAUGUGUAGCGGUGAAAUGCGC
rnacentral:rRNA from 1 species